rnacentral:lncRNA from 1 species
UACAUUGAACCUGCGGAAGAGCUGAUAUCAAAGACGCGACCAAGGUUAUACAAGAAGGUCAAAAAUUAUUUUGAUGUGUGUUUUGAGAGCUAUCAGCAGGGAAAACUGCCUAUUGAAGUAGCAAAAGAAGGGUGUGAUGAACACUGAUGCUGUGAUGCAGACAUGGAAUAAAAAAAUUUCAAAUAUGACGAACAAUGUAUAAUAAAUAUGUAAUGCAAAUAUUGCGAACAAUGUAUGAUAAAUAUGUUAUGCUAUUCUUCCACAUGCCGAAGAAAAUAAGUACUGUUGCUAUGUUGGACAUGGUGGUUUUGUUUGAAUUCCUUUGGAUCAUAUAAGUACUCUGGAUAUCACCUUCUUAGACUCCUGGUUAUCUAGUUCAUGGUUAUUUGGUGUAGAUAAGUUAUCCAGUUUAGAGUUAAUCCUUAAUUGAUAUGGCUUGAAACUGAAAAGCUGGACAGUAAACUUUCAAUGUAACACACCCUGAACUUGCACAGACUUAUAAAUUGGCAUCCGAGACAUUUUUUUUUUUUUUUUUUAAGGAUGACCUGCCGUACACUAUUCAUUAAAACAUACUAUGGGCUUUUUGAACAGCUUACGAGUGGCCAAGUCCAAAUCUGUCGGCACUAUCUCUCUAAAUCUUUUUGAUAAAAAAUCUUAAUCUUUUAUCUUUUAUCUUUUAUAUAAUUAAUUAAUUAAUUAUAUAUUAAUAUAACUAUUAAGUAGUUAUAAAUAUGGGAAAGUGAGUGUUUAUUUUAUUAAAAAUAAAAUGAGAAAUGAUUAACCAUUGCUUAUAAAUGAAAAACAUGAAAGGGGCCCGACUACUUUUAUGGAAUGGAUAGGACUCAGUUAGACUACCGACGUUUUGUCCUAUAUUUUUUGAUAUUAUAACUUAGAAUACUGUAUAAUUAUAUAUUUCUCAAAAUUAUAGCGUAUAACAUUUGCACGUUCCAUAUAGGCCACUCCUUUCCUUGGGACAAUAAUUGGCAAUGUCAAGUGAUAAAACUUAAUGCAGAGUGUGUGAAUGUUUAUGUGUAUAUAUACUGCUUUAUCAAUGUAAGAGAAGAAAGAACUCUUUAUAUUGAUACUUGUCAAAGCUUGUUGUUUUUGAUACAUGAGAGGAACUGAUUUAUAGAGUACAAAGCGUGUGAAAGAAUCUGUUCUUUAUUGAAUAAUGCUAGUGAACUACCCAACUACUUACUUGCUGGACUGCUACUGCUAUUUACUAUGGUUAGACUUUGUGUACCAAGAAAACAGCUAAGAGCUUAAUAUAUUUAACACCCCCCCUUCAAACUGAAGUUGGUCCAAAAAUCAACUUGAGUUUGUUAACUAAAUCACGAAAUUUACCGGGGGAAUGAGAUUUUGUGACAAUAUUUGCAGUAUUGUCAGCACUCGAGACACUGUGUAGUCAAACUGUGCCUUUUGCAACUUGUUGACGAGUGAAAUGACAGUCGAUCUCGAUAUGUUUAGUACGUUCAUGAAAAACAUCAUUGUGAGCAAUGUCUAUCGCACUUUUGCUAUCACAAUAGAUAGAAGUGGCUGGAGAAUGAGUUACACUCAUAUCUUCAAGUAAACAUCGUAGCCAAAUCAAUUCCUGUGUGGUGUCGGCAAGAGCUCGAUAUUCCGAUUCGGCAGUUGACUUAGAAGCUGGUGAUUGUUUCUUACUACGCCAAGAGAUAAGAGAAUCACCAAGAAAGAAACAAAAACCUGUCGUGGGACAUCUGGUAGAUGGAUUACCACCCCAGUCAGCAUAUGAAUAGGCAUGUAAUUCAAGUGAAGAGUUGUAUGGAUAAUGUAGUCCAUAAAAUAUGGUGCCUUUGACAUAGCGAAGUAUGUGAAUAACAGCUGUGAAGUGGGAGGUACGAGGAGCUGCCAUAAAUUGACUAACAAUAUGAACAACAUGAGCAAUAUCUGGACGUGUGACAGUGAGAUAACUAAACUCCCAACCAACUGGCGAUACAGUGUUGGAUUGGGAAGUAAUUCACCAUCUUCAACUACCGAUGUUCCCUUAACAGAAGUUCAGUCUGAGGAUUCUGACAUUGAGCCCUCCACACAACCAUCUCCUUCAGACGAGCAUGUCCAUCGCUCUACCCGAGUAAGAAAAUCUUUUGUUCGACUUACUGAUUAUCAUGUUUAUUCUGCUAUACAAUCAUUACAUGAGCCUCAAACAUAUAGAGAGGCGAGUGUUAACCCUCUUUGGCAGAAAGCAAUGGAAGAAGAACUUCAUGCAUUAGACAAAACUCAUACUUGGGAUUUGGUAACUUUGCCUCCUCGUAAAACAGCUAUAAGUUGCUGAUGGAUCUACAAAAUUAAAACAAAAUCUGAUAGCUCUAUUGAUAGAUAUAAAGCUCGUCUAGUUGCUAGAGGCUUUACACAAGAGUAUGGCAUUGAUUACGAAGAAACAUUUGCACCAGUUGCUCGUCUCACAUUUGUUCGAAGUUUACUAGCUGUUGGAGCUUCAAAACACUGGGAUAUGUGGCAAAUGGAUGUCAAAAAUGCCUUUCUCAAUGGAGACCUACAUGAGGAAGUAUAUCUUAAACCUCCUCCAGGUUUUUCUCACUCUCCAGAUCAAGUGUUCAAGAUUAACAAGGCUCUUUAUGGUUUUAAACAAGCACCCCGAGCUUGGUUUGAAAAAUUCAACAAAAUAGUUUAGCAACUGGGAUUUUCUUCAAGUCUAUAUGAAUGUUUAUGUGUAUAUAUGCUGCUUAAUCAAUGUAAGAGAAGAAGAACGCUUGUAUUGAUACUUGUCAAAGCUUGUUAAAGUUUUUUGUGUUUGAUACAUGAGAGGAACUGAUUCAUAGAGUAUAAAGCGUGUGAGAGAAUCUGUUCCUUAUUGAAUAAUACUACUCCCUCCGUCCCAUUUUAACUGCUUUUGACUUUUUUACACGUAUUUUAAAGUGGUAAAAAAAUCACAUCUAAACAUAUUUAUUUUUCAUAAAAUUUAUAUCAAAUAAAAGUUUAGAAUCUAAACUUUUAUUUGAUAUAAGAAUUGAACUUUUUUAUUGAGUGUAUAUAUUAUUUUUUUUCAUCUCAAUAUACGUGUUAAAAAGUCAAACAUCAGUUAUAAUGGGACAGAGGGAGUAGUGAACUACCCAACUACUUACUUGCUUGACUACUACUGCUAUUUAUUAUGGUUAGACCUUGUGUACCAAGAAAACAGCUAAGAGCUUAAUAUAUUUAACAUCAAGUAAGCUGUCUGUUAACUCGUCAACAAUAGCUUCCAUGUCUGAAACUCUUGAAUCAACAGUGUUCAAGCCAGUUCAAGAACUGGCCGUGGAUUGCAAUACACCGCCAGAAAGAUACAUCUAUACGUGCAGUAAUGAGGCCAUCGGCGUUAAUCCUCCAGUGCUAGAUAUUCCUGUCAUUGAUCUCAACUCUCUACAAUCUUCCUCACCAUCUGCAGAUAGAGAACUAGAGAAACUCAGAGCUUCUGUAACUUCAUGUGGCUGCUUUCAGGUUUCUGCUAUUCUUUUAUAAACAAACUGCACAAGUUUUCACCAUCUUUUCUAAUGUGGUUGGAUUUCAUUUUUCCAUGCAGUUAAUUGGUCAUGGGAUGACAAGUUCAUUUCUUGACCAAGUGUCCAGCAUUGGCAGAGACUUUUUUGCACUUCCGGUCAAGGAAAAGCUUAAGUGCCUGAGAACUGCUGAGAACACUCAAGGGUAUGGGCAUGAUACAAAGUUUUCGGAAAAUCAAGUUCUUGAUUGGACGGAUCGUCUGUAUCUCAUCACUAGUCCUGAAGAUCAGAUAAAGUUCCAGUCUUGGCCUGAAUGUCCCGAAAGCUUUAGGUACUAUGAAUUAUCUUAUAAAAGAAACUAUUCCAAGCAUUGUAUAUUCCAAGCAAUCAAUCAGAUCAAUCAAAAUUCUUAUUCCACUUAAUUUUACCGGAUUUAGAUUCAAAUCAAAUCGCAUCCGUUAAAUAAUUUAAGUAUUUUUUUAAAAAUAUUUCAAUUCAUUUCAAAGAUCUUAUAUUUUAAGAGAUAUGAUAAACCUAAAAUCAUAUCUAAUGGUCAUAAGAUCAGAUCCGGCACGGAUCGGUUUAUUAUCGGAUCAGAUUUUUGUCGAGAUGAUUCGUAUCCGGUCCAUUAUUAGCUCUCGGACCGGAUAUCUGGUCCAUUUGUUACCCUAGCAGUGAUUACCACUUUUGUCUUGGCCUCAAGUUGUGGAGAGGGUCUGAGGUUCAUUAUAUUGAAGUCUAUGAGAGCUAAGUUGUGAUACCUUACAUUUUUUAAAAGAGCAACCAUACCUUACAUUUUCUUAAAGAGCAAACCACUAAAAUUGUAUACUGCUUAGGUUUAACUUUUAAGAGAUUUCAGAUACCCCUAAAUUCGACACACUGUUGCUCCUUGGUGUGGGAGUUUGACGGUGGUCCACUCGUGCAAGUGAGAGGGAGUUAAUGAACUUGUGCUUUAUAAUAAUAUGACUCCCUCAGUGUGGGAUUGUUCCGUGCAAGCGAGGGUUAUCUCCCACGUUUUACAUUGGUUGCUGUUGCUAAUCAAGUUUUGUGAAAAUUGUAAACAAGUUAAUAAAUACAUCCUAUGUUUUUCUCUGCAGGAAACUAUUGCAGGAAUACACUGAAAAGAUAAACUUAUUAACUGAGGCUGUCUUAAAGGUCCUGUCAAGGUCACUGAACUUGAAAGAAAGCUGCUUCUUGGAUCAAUAUGGAGAAAAUGCUUAUAUGGUUGCGAGAUUUAACUAUUAUCCUCCCUCUCCAAGGCCUGAUCUUACACUAGGAGUGAAACCGCACGCAGAUGGAUCAGCUAUGACAUUCCUUAUCCAAGACAAACAAGUGGAAGGUCUACAAGUCCUGAAAGAUGAUCAGUGGUUUAAUGUGCCUAAUGUUCCUGACGCUCUUUUAGUUAACAUUGGCGAUCAAGUUGAGGUACAUCUCUUUAAGCUCUGUUUACAAAAUAAUCUUGCAGAAAUAAAAAAUGCAGAUAAGGAUGCACACUCGCAAAUAACACACACAUAGAUGUAUUGAGGGUCAUUGUAUUUGAACUUGAGCGUAUAUUUGAAAUGUAUGCCGCGUAUGCAGAUAAUGAGUAAUGGGAUAUACAAGAGUCCAGUGCACAGAGUGGUGACGAACUCUGAAAGAGAGAGGAUAACUGUGGCUAUGUUCUGUUCUCCCAAUUCUAGUAGGUACAUUGAACCGGCAGAAGAGCUGAUAUCAAAGAGAAGACCAAGGUUAUACAAGAAAGUCAAUAAUUAUUUUGAUAUGUGUUUCGAGGGCUACCAGCAUGGAAAACCAGCUAUUGAAGCCGCGAAAAUGUGAUGAACACUUCUGCAAACAUGGAAUAAAGAAUUUCAAAUAUGACAAAGGAGAAAAGUUCAUUGGAGUCCCUGUUUAUUUGGAGUCUUGGAGUCCUUGAUCCUCACCAUUCAUUAAUAUGUUAUCCAAGGGCUGAGAAAAUUUCUAUUUAACUAAUUAAUUAAUAUUUAUUAAAUUAAAUAUUCAGUAAGUGGUAUGUAUACGCGUAUAAAUUAUAGUACAUAGUACAUACAUUUUGUAACUGUCUCCGGACAGUUAAUUGAUUAUCAUUUUUCAGGGCGGCAGUUAUGGCCCCCGUUUAUCUCCUUCUCCCUGUGAUUGCACCGUAUGAAAAUAGCAGCAGUUUUGUGUUAUGUAAUCGUGUGGCUUUUGUUCCCCUCUCAUCAUAUCUUCUCGGUUGUUUUCUCCUCCACGAAUUAGCUAUGACAUCGCAAGAGGAUGCAUCAGGUUUGUUCAUAUAUCGUUGCAAUGUUUCUCACGUUUUCUCUAUUCUUAUAGUUGAGAAUUACAGAGGUGUGAGUUAUGAUUAUUUUGUCAAAUGUUAUUGAUUUUAUAAGUGGGUUUCAGUUUGGUCUGCCAUUAUCAGACUACCCCAAUUGGGGUCUUGCACUAGUUUAUGCUCAUGUUUACUGCUUUUACAACAAUAGAGAAUAAUUUUGUUCCCCAAUUUGUAAUUCACAAUUCAUCCUUUUUUAUCAAUGCUGAUUUCAAUGUUCCUUUUUUUUCCAUAGGUUCGCAGUUUGUUCCACACGUUGAGAGUUCUGAAUCUGAAAAAUCAUCUCAUGUAUCUCAUAAUGAAAGUUCCGAAUCAGAUGAUGAUUCAGAAGAGGAUGUUGAGCAACAUAUUAAUUCAGAAGAGUUUGACGCUGUGUGUCAUGUUGCUCCAAGCGGGGAAAAAUUCUGGACUCCUAAAUGUGAUGAUAGUAAGAGACCUCGAGUUAAUCAACACUUCCCUACAAUAGAAGAUGCAUUUUUAUUUUAUAAGGAGUAUGGGCGCAGCUGUGGUUUUGAUGUUCGUAAAUCAUCGAAAAAACCUAAUAGUCGUGGCAAUUUGUAUGCUAAACAUAUUCAAUGCAGUCAUGGCGGUGGGCCUGGUAAAAAGUCAGUGAUGGUUUUUGACGAUGCUGGUGUUGAGGGAUCACGUAGGAGGACAACAUCACAAAGAUGUUAUUGCAAAGCAAAAAUAAUUAUGAAGCCAGCUGGUGUUAGAGGCUUCGUGAUAAUGAGUUUUGUCGAAGAACAUAAUCAUCCAUUCGCAUAUGGACCUGCUAGAAUGUUUCUACGAUGUAAUAGAAAUUUGUCUAUUUCAUACCAGAAUUUCAUAAUGGAUUGUUCUAGAGCUAAAAUCGGCGCAACACGAGCGCACAGUUUAAUGAAAGAGAUGAUGGGAUCAUACCAAGAUAUCGGUGCCACUACUGCUGAUUUCAAGAAUUUUGCAAGGGAUGUAAAAGUUCGUAUUGGAGACCAUGACACGGACAUGCUUUUAGGCAAAUUCAAGGACAUGAAAGAGUCACCUAAAAAAACUUUUUACUAUGAUUACAAAGUAGAUCGGAAGGGGCAUCUUACUGGUCUUUUCUGGACCGACGCAAUUGGCCAAGCUAAUUAUGAUGUAUUUGGUGACAUAGUAUCUUUUGACCCUACGUUUCGCACUAACAAGUAAGUAUAUAUUAUUGUUUUGUUUUUGAUUCUGAACUUUCAGCAUACAAAUUACCUUAUUAAUCUAUACAUGUGACCACUUGUGCCAAUUGGACAAAUGUAAUCAAAUAAUUAUUUUUGUUAUGUUAUCACCUGGCACAUUUCAGAUGUAUAAACUUUUGCUUCACUGGAUAACCAUGCUAUACUAUAAAUGUGUUAAGAUCUUUAUGUACCAUAAACAUUGUACUUAUACCAUCCCAAAAUAUUUAUACAGUAUUGUUCUUUGUUAUGCUAGUUUUUCACACCAGGUCAUAUUUGAAAUCUUAUGCUGCCUCAUUUUUUACUUUUUAUUUUCAGGUACAACAUGGUGUUUGUACCAUUUACAGGAGUCAAUAACCAUUGGAAGAAUGUUACAUUUGCUGCCGGUCUUUUAGCCAAAGAAAAUUAUAAAAACUUCAAAUGGCUUAUUCUAACAUUCAAGAAAGCAAUGGGUCGAGCUCCAUCAUGCGUUAUUACAGACCAAUGUCCAGCCAUUAAGAAAGCAUUGGAUAAAUGGUGGGAUUCUACAAAACAUCGUUUUUGUAUGUGGCAUAUAAUGAAUAAGUUGCCAUUGAAGGUAACAUUGUCCAGUUCCAUAAGAUAUUAAAUUUACAAAUGUCUGACAAAUUAAACCAUUUAGUUCUAUGUGUUUGUGCUAAUUACACUUGCAGGUUGGCCCUAAACUCGCUUCCAACAAAAAGUUUGUUAAUAAGUUGAAAGCAGCUGUUUAUUCUGACCACCUUAGUCCAACUGAAUUUGAGGAAUCUUGGAAAGCUGUCAUCGCUGAAUUUAAGCUAGAGUCUAAUACCUGGUUGACUGAAAUGUAUGACAUGCGGUCUGAAUGGAUUCCCGCAUUUUUUUCUGAUAUUGAAAUGGCAGGGUUACUCAGAACUACUUCAAGAUCCGAAAGUUCUAAUUUCUUUUUUCAAAACUUCCAUGAAAGUGGCGACACGCUAGUUGAGUUUUACUCUAGUUUUGAAAGUGCAAUGGAUAAGCAGCGUAUGAGAAAUGCGGAAGACGAGAGGAGAUCUCAUAAAAUUUCUUUGCUUGACACAACAAUGAGCAUCGAGGUUGAUGCAUCUAAAUUGUACACACUGGAACUUUUCUAUUUGGUGCGAGAGGAGAUUAAAUCAGGAUGUUGUCACACUAUUAUGGAUGAGAUGACUCGUGACGAUGAUUCUUCUAAAUUCAGAUUUAAAGAUGAACUACUGAACGACCAUGUUUUUGAGGUACACAUUGCUAUUUUCGGCUGUCUAUUUUGAUGUUUAGUGUUCCCUGCAGUCUUGUCAAUUAAAUUUUAGAUAUUUUUUGCUAUAUUUCGUAGUUAUUAAUUGCAUUUUGUUUCUAUUUGAUUUAAUGCUAAAUUACGCUGUUGUUAUAAGUCAUAUCCAAGUAUUAGUUUUGUUUAACAAUAGUGUCCUGUAAAGAUUUUCCUCAGUGUUUUUCCCUAUACUGAUUGUAAGAUGAUAUUGUGUGAUUUUACUAUACUCUGAUACUUAAGUUCUGGAUAAUUUGCAAUAGUUUUCUCAGCCAUUAGACUAUUUUUAAUUUAGAUCUUCUGAUUUUAUAAACAACUCUAGUCACAAAGUUGUCAUUACUUUAUUAGUGUGCUGCUCAGUAGACCUAUAUUACCUUGCAUUUAAGCUUAUUAUCAAUCUUGUAUUUUUUAUUGUAGAUAAUAUUUAUGUUGUUCUCCACCUAGUAACAAUAUUAAACCUUAUUGAAGCAUUCAAUACAUUAUGCUGCAUAAAGAACAAAGCAUUUGAUUUUAACACUGUUUGAUAACCUAUAGCCUCAUAUGCAAUUAAGUCUACUUUUUGCCCAGGUGAUAUGUUUUUUUAAUAGUUUAAUCUAGAUUAUUAACAUUAAAGAAUUUAUGUUGCAGGUUUCUGUCAGGCAUAGUGAUAAUUAUGUGACUUGCAGCUGCAAUUUUUUCUUCCAAAAGGGUUAUUUAUGCAGGCAUGCUUUCGCGGCACUUCACCAAUGUCGCGUCAAGGAGAUUCCUCGCGUGUUUGUUAAGCCAAGAUGGACGAAAGAUGCUAUAAAAAAUCACUCCUUCCUUGCCUCUGCAGAAGUAAGCUCUGUACGUGAUAGCCAUAAAAGGAUGAAGCUUAAGCGGACAAGGGCCUGGUUUGAAUUCAAUAAUUACAUGAAUCAAGUUGGCGAAGACGAGGACAAGCUUGAUUUGGUUCUCAACGGUUUGCACUCAAUUAACUCUAUCCUGAAUGAAAAGGAUGGGCCUCCUGUUGAAACACUAAACUCCCACAGAGCAGAUAAAUUCAUUGGCCAUGUCCCCGAAUCUGAAGUCUCGGUUUUGAAUCCUAAUGUAAGUAGGAACAAAGGUUGCGGAAGCCGUAUAAAGAGUAGCCGUGAAAUUUCAAUGGGUUCACAAAAGAAAAGGAGGUGUAGCAACUGCAAUAGACUGGAGAGCCACAAUGCGCGUACUUGUCCUGAGCCAAAAAAAACAUCGGUGACACAGAACAUUGAGUGAAGAAGAUGUUACAUUUCUUACUACGUCUUGAACCAUUAUGCAAGUUUAGACUUUUAGUCUUUCAUUCCAUGUUUAUUGUAUCUUCUGAACACAACUAGUUAUCCAAAUCAACUGAUCAUUAUUUGGAUUCUGUACUUGGUAGAUACAUAAUUCAUUAUCCCUUGUUUUGGCUCUUUUGAUUUAUGUCUUAAUUAUUUAAGAAGAGUAUAUACGAUAGUUCCCCUGCAGGCAAUAGGCGAUUGACUUGGAAGGAAUGACUGUUAUCGUUUCUAAAGAAUCACGGUAGAGUUUGUGUGUGUUACAGGUUGAGGUGCUACGUUAUUACAAGUAGAUUGUGUUAUUUCUUGCAAAGAUGCACUAAUAUGUGUGAAAUUUUCAUUGCCUGAGGGGGUGUAUCUUUACUAGAUGAGUUAUAUAUAUGAAUGCAGUUUAGCAGGUUGCUUGAACAAGCACUUUGUAACACUAGGUCCCUAAAUUGAUGAACCACCAGACAUAUUACAUGAGGUGAUGCUGUAAGUGAUUGCAGACUGCUGUUAGAUAUAUAAUGUAUGAUCUGUACUUGGUGAAAUUUUAUUUUCCUCUUUUAAUGUAAUAGUAUCUUGUUUGAGUCUAUAUAUCAUUGUUUUCUUCAUAUUAUUGUGUUUCUGUAUUUAUUUUACAGUGAUAACCUAACUUUUUUAAGUUGCCCUUCACUAGCCAAAAAAAGCUAAAAAAGUGCCGCAGAUUUUAGCAAAAUUUGUUAGGUUCCUUUUGUUCUCAACAAUAUUUCUUAAACCUGCUUCGUAGCAAACAUCUCAUUUGAAGAAAAAGUACUUGAUGAACGUCACAAACAGUUAACCAAACAUUCUGCAUUAAUAAUCAUAAUCAAUCUUUAUAAUCCAAACGAAAGCUCCAAAAGAGUUAAAAUAAAAUGAAUAACUACUGAAUUUCAUUUUUACGCCAAGUAGGGAUAACUUGUUAAAGCUUUCCACCAUCGAUACUUAUUCUACCACCGUCUUCCCUUUAGCCAUCGCAGAUGCACUGUCUCUAACAAAAUCCUUGUAUCUAUUGCAUUCCCAUGUUAGCAACUUGUGACAAUAUAUAACUCUUAGUUUUCUCAGCAAGCUUUUUUGGUUAUCCUGCAUCAUAAGUUAAUAGGUCAUUUGCACCGAUUAGUAACCUCACCAGAAAAUUAUUCCACUAAUACAAACCUAAAUGAAAUUAGCUUACAUUUUCGGUCCUUAAUCCCGCUCGCCAAGUGGACAGAUUGCCCAUAUAUGUCUCCAUGUGACGCAUAACAAAUACCCCACAAUCAACGGAGUUGUCUUUAGUCUGCCAGCCAACUCUUACAACUCUCGGAUUUAACGAAAUUAUCUCUUUACCCUUCGGCAAAUUGUAUACCGAUAUCCAUUCACAAAAACAAUCAUGCUGGUACAGGACAAUUUUCACCAAAGUCAGGUAAUUUUAAAAUUUAAAAUUCAUAUAAGAAUUUAUCCUUACGUACCAGACGGAAUGGCAAAUCACCAUACAACUCUUCAAUACCAUAAAAUGGCACCCUGUUGUCAAUUAUCUCCCAUGUUGGUUUCUUCAUGUUGUAGCAGAUAAUAUAAUGGUGCGCAGCUUGAAUAAUCGGGAACACAAACUACAUAUUUGCAAUAGUUAACACAUAGCACUCUAUAACAAGAUUAUAAAUUGAAAAAAAAAUUACAUACCAUAUCAAAGUCUGGUACAUUAUACACCCUAUCGUGUACUCUGUUUACCAAUUCCAGGACAACAUCCAUGUUAUCAUCGAAGACCGCAUAACGUUUAAUUUUCUCAUGUAUAUCUCCUUCAGCCACUGACAUAUUCAUAGGCCCGUACUGCAAUGAAUUAAAGUCUAAUUUAGCACAUGCAGUGCCCAUUUAAUCAGUUUAUUAUUUAUGAAGGUGGAAAGAAAUAUAUAAUGCAUCAAAGACUUACACUCGUCUCAGUAUUCAAGAAUAGUCUUAACGGUGAAGAAUCAGAUCUCAAUAUCUCAUUCUCAUUCAGCAUACAAGUCCAAGCAUCAAUUAAAGUGCUCUCCACCAAUUUUGUAUCAUGCAGUGACUGGAAAUGUGCUUUUGUGCACAUUCUUGUGUUCCAUUCAAAUAAUAUAUCCCUACAACCACAUUUUUUUAAAUAAUUAAGACACAUAUAUAGUAGUAAUUUAUUAAAAAAAAUUAUGUAUCCCAUACAAAAAUAAUUGACUACUACUUACUUUUUGUUUCGUUUAUUAGAGAACAGCCAAUUCCACACAUUUUUCUCCUCUAAAGUAGGUGUGUGAGCUACUACAUCGACCACUCUGCUAACAAACGGAGACCGGCAAAUCUCUGUUGUCCUAACUGCUCGUCGUUGUCUUUGUAUUAAAGCAUUAUCAUCCCCUGGACAAAGCACAUCAUGUCGAUCGGCCACGGUUAGGGAAUACAACCCACCACUUGCAGCACGCAUUCCACCUUCCCCUUCCAAUUCAGCACAAAGAUUUCUAGGAGUCAUCUGUGUCAGCCCCAAUGAAAAGCUUGGUGCAAAUUCAGACUCCUUUCGAUCGGCUACUUUAUCGCCAUGUUCCCCGUCCCCACUUCCCAUGAAAAACUUCUUUGAAAUUGGACUCGUGUCUUCAAAUAACUUAAAAAAGAAACCGAACUCUUUUUUCAAACCAGCAAUAAUAGGAUUAUCCGGGUACAACAAGCCAGCCACCACAUAGUUAUUCAAGCAUUUUUCAUAAUUGUGUCUCAACUCCACUAGAUUUUUGGUGAACUCUUGGGCAUAAUUCUGUCAUGUAAAAAUUUGUAAAAAAAAAUAGCAAACAAGGUUCAUAACAAAUUCACUAAUAGCAAACUAAAAAAAAAAUAAUAUCUGAAUAGUAUGUACUUACCUCAUCUGCAAAGUGUUUAUCUAUCAACUCAUCCAUAUUAGUUUGUGUACCCUCCACAGUGUCCCCUUUUAUAUAAUUGUUCUGCACACGAAUAAAUAGAGAUAAUAGAAACAUUAUUUUCCCAGAACACAAUCGUAAAACAAAUCCCGCUAGUGUUAGUUAAUUUAUUUUAAAAAAACACUUUAUUUUACUGCAACAAAUUUUGUUUAUCUAUUUCCUAAGUAAUAUUUAUGCUCCAUUGACUUAAAUCUAAUACUAAGAAUAUUAUUGCAGGAUGUAUCACACAAACUAUUGCAGGCUAAUAUCCAAGUUUUUUUCUCACCUUGUUAGGCAGAGCCCUUGAUUGAUUGGUGACACUAUUAUCCAAGUGGGAGUCAUCUGCCACUUUAACAAUUUCACGCUUACAUAAUGCAGCCCCCUGCAGAAGUUUUUCUUAUCAAGCUUUUAAAGUAAUAUGCAGUCGCUUUGUCUUAAUAAUUUCACAAAGUAGUGUAAGAAAAUAUUAUGCUUUACCAUGUUUUCAUCUUCAGGCAUUACGGUUGAAACACUAUGCAUGGUGUGCAAGUUGGAGUCGUUUGUCACUCCAAUAGUUUCACGCUUUUCAUUGCGGUUCUGCAUGGAAAAUAUUUUCAUCAUAUACAUAACACUGCGCUGCACAAUGGAAAUUUUAUUGUCGCCCUGUUGUAACUCCUACAGACUAAAACUUAAUGUCGAAGAAUUAUUGUGUUACUUACUAUAUCAUUCAUAUCCAUCUCUACUGCCAUUUCCUCUUCAGCUAUAUGACCAUAAUUUUCCUCAUCCAUCUGCAAAGAGUCCUCCACAAUCAUGUCAUUCACAUCCUCUCCGUCCCCGUCAAUGUUAACCUAUAAUGAUGUAGAAACAGUUAGUCAUCAUAUGCAACUGGUAACAACCUAUCAGCGAUGGAUUAUAGUAAACUCACAAUGCUUUCUAAAUACUCAUGUUCUGUGCCGUUGUUCAAAUCUUGUCCUGUACCAUUUGUCACUAUAUUCUACAAUGCCGCUUGUUUAUUUAUCCCUUUAGCUUCCUGCAACAUUUUUUUGGUACCAUCAAAUCCCCGUGCUUAUAAAGGCAGUAUAUAAUUUGUAUAAUUAGUGUCUUAACGUCUUAUACCUGUUCACCAGAGUCCAGCUCAACCAACUGACCAACUCCAAAACACCCUUGCUUCUCUUCAUAUUUCUGUCUUUCACGCAGUAACAUGUCAGACCAAGCCCGAAAUGCUGGAACCGAGGGACUUACGUACACAGUAUACUUGUUCCGGACUUUGCUCACGUAAAGAUACUGCAAGGUAACAUGGAAGAAAACUAUGUGUUAACAAUAAAGCUUACAAUAUACUAGGUGGAGAACAACCCAAAAAAAAGUACGGAACUAAGUCUUACAAUAAGAAACGCCAAAGCUCCUUUAAAGUUUCGCGUCCUAUUAGCAGCCCAGAAAGCGUGUGUCUUUUUCAGCUUGUCAAUUAAUAGCUGACACCAGUUAUAUUCUCCACAAUUGUCUAUAUCCAUUUUCACGUUCAGUACAUCUCGAACUAGAUAUUGGUUCUGAUUACACUCAAUAAAGAAAUUAUAAAAGAGCACCAGAAAAUUCAACUUAAAUUGUUUGUCAUCCAACCGACUUGCAAGAAUCUUGUCCUUCACCAUGCGUGGUUUUAUUUUGCAUCGUUUACAUUCUGGAAAUUGGUCACUCCAUUCGGACAUUAAACUACUAUUAUCACUGAAUAUAAUCUCCUUAUCCCCUCGUGGAAGGCCAAUCACUUUUUCAACCAUUUUGUCGUCUAUCUGUAUACUACCUGCUCUUAAUUCCAGGGAGCAUUUCUUUGAAUCAAAUGCAUUCACUACAUUGUAUCCUAGACGAUGUGUGUAGCAUAGCAUACGAAAAUUAAGUAACUCUGCAAAACCGGUUACUCUUACCCACUGUCUCUGAUUAUCGGAUAAUCCUGCAAUUACUUGAGACAUUAUGGAAGGUGAAAUUUUCUUCUCAAUGUAGUUUUCAUUGGAUCUAGUCUUCUUAAGCCCUUGCUGUAUUUUAGGCAUCUCCUCAUGUUCCGUACUUCCAUCAGCAUAACCUAUCUUGAGUUUAGGAGUUUUUUUGACAUUUCUCCUUCUCACUACCUUAGACGCUAUAAUUAUCGCUGCGCUUGCGCGAUUACCUGAUCCUGCAACCUGCACAAAAUAAGGUAACAAUUCUUAACGAAAGCAAAAAGUGGCAUCUACACACUAACCAUUUUGUCUCUUUAAUACAAAACCCAUACCUUGUUCUGUGGCGUCCUCUUUCUGAUCUUAACAGAUGGUGUUAACCGUUUACUUCUAUAAGAUUCCUUAGCACCCAUCUUGCACUCCUUCUUUCCUGACGCACUUUGGCAAGUUUUAUGAGAUUUACUGAAAGAUUCUCCUGGUGUGACAAAGUCAUCUUCUUCAUCGCUAGAAUCCCUCGUAUCCAUUUUUUUCCCCCACCCCCACUCACUUCUUAUAUCCCGACUCCCAAUCACAGCACUUCCCUUUGUUUCAGAAAGCUCCAGAGCCUUCUUAGGGUACUUAUACACCCAUGGGCUCGCACUCGCAGUAAGACGAUUACUUCGUCUCCGACCUGAAAAAUAAUAUAACACAAGUGCUUCAAAAUUCUAUAAUGGACACUUCAGUGUAUUUAAAUUGAAAAUACUGCAGUUUCAGAAUUAAAUUCAAGAUAUACAUCAAUCCUAAUUUAACAACUUUAAUAGUGCUUCUAAAUAAGCUCUGCUUCUAUAUUCUUAAUUCUGUACUUCAGAUCAUCACAUGUUUUUUAAGUGCUUUAAAGAUCCAAGUUUCCAGUUACACCAAUUUUAUUAAUUUACUUAUUUCAAAAAAAAUAAGGCACAGAACAUUCUCAGUGGGCAAACAAUAAUACUACACACAUCAUGUUGACAUAAGCACUGGGCAACAUCUUGCAUAGGCUAACACGCUAAUUUACACGCACGCGAGAUUUUCAUUCACAAAAACAAUCAUACUGGUGCAGGGCAAAGUGUCUUCAUUAUAAGAACUAUAGAACCCUAAAACCCAAAUCAGCCUAAAAAAAAAAUACACGCAUGCGAGGAACCAAAAAUUCACCUGUACUCAUUGUUUUCUGUUCCGUAGGUUGAGCAAAUCUUCCACCCUGAGCUUUCAAGAAACCAAGUGUCUCUCUCCACCUUGCUUUGCAGAAUACGCUCGCAGGACAUUUUAAACUGUAACUGAACCACUUUGAGUGAUGUGCGGGAUAUUGGUGUUCCUUGAUUGCAGUCAGUGUAGUUACUAUACGUAUCCUCGUUCAACCGUAGCGUACACAGUAUCCCAGAUUCUCAGUUUUUAUUUUAAAUCAGAAAUAUUCUGUUUUUUAAAUCUCAACCGUCGGUUAUGUUCCUCAUCCAAUGAUCCAGAUUUGGGACUCCAAGGACUCCAAUUAUGCGGGACUCCAAGGAGCCCAACUCUAUGACAAAGAAUGUAUAAUAUGUAAUGCUGUUUUCCACAUACCCAAAAAAACUAGUGUCCAUAAGUUAC